GCUGGCGGCAGGCUUAACACAUGCAAGUCGAACGCUCCUAGCAAUAGGGGAGUGGCAGACGGGUGAGUAACGCGUGGGAACAUACCCUUUGGUUCGGAAUAACUCGGCGAAAGCCGUGCUAAUACCGGAUAAGCCCCUCACGGGGGAAAGAUUUAUCGCCGAAGGAUUGGCCCGCGUCCGAUUAGCUAGUUGGUGAGGUAAUGGCUCACCAAGGCGACGAUCGGUAGCUGGUCUGAGAGGAUGAUCAGCCACACUGGGACUGAGACACGGCCCAGACUCCUACGGGAGGCAGCAGUGGGGAAUAUUGGACAAUGGGCGCAAGCCUGAUCCAGCCAUGCCGCGUGAGUGAUGAAGGCCUUAGGGUUGUAAAGCUCUUUCGACGGGGACGAUAAUGACGGUACCCGUAGAAGAAGCCCCGGCUAACUUCGUGCCAGCAGCCGCGGUAAUACGAAGGGGGCUAGCGUUGCUCGGAAUCACUGGGCGUAAAGCGCACGUAGGCGGAUCUUUAAGUCAGAGGUGAAAUCCCAAGGCUCAACCUUGGAACUGCCUUUGAUACUGGGGAUCUCGAGUCCGGAAGAGGUGAGUGGAACUGCGAGUGUAGAGGUGAAAUUCGUAGAUAUUCGCAAGAACACCAGUGGCGAAGGCGGCUCACUGGUCCGGUACUGACGCUGA
rnacentral:rRNA from 1 species